rnacentral:rRNA from 1 species
AUUGAACGCUGGCGGCAGGCCUAACACAUGCAAGUCGAGCGAGCGGCGGACGGGUGAGUAAUGUAUGGGGACUGCCCGAUAGAGGGGGAUCACUACUGGAAACGGUUGCUAAUCCCGCGUACUGUCGGAUAACCCAUAUGGUAUUAGCUAGUCGGUAAGGUAAUGGCUUACCUAGUCGACGAUCCCUAGCUGGUCUGAGAGGAUGAUCAGCCACACUGGGACUGAGACACGGCCCAGACUCCUACGGAGGCAGCAGUGGGGAAUAUUGCACAAUGGGCGAAAGCCUGAGACAGCCAUGCCGCGUGUAUGAAGAAGGCCCUAGGGUUGUAAAGUACUGUCAUUCGGGAGGCGUUACCGACAGAAGAAGCACCGGCUAACUCCGUGCCAGCAGCCGCGGUAAUUC